AGACACACACCCACCCACCCACUCAAAAAAAAAAAAAAACAAAAAAACCCCACACACACACACACAAAACAAACCCUGAAACAAAAACAAACAACAACAAAAAACCCAACAAAAAUAACAAAAACAUCCCCCUCCCCCCCAAAGAACAACAACAACAACAAAAAGAACCUAUUGAAAAAAAUGAAACCAAAAAAAACAAAACAAACUCAACAACAUUUGACCAUGCAGUGUUCUCUGUUCUAGGAAACGGUUCUACAGUUGGUCCAACCACGCCAGGAAAUGGUUCUACAGUUGGUCCAACCACGCCAGACGGCAAACCGCCGAGUUUCUGGAUUAUAAUUGCGAUAGUGGUUUUCUGCAUUCUGAGUCUGCUUGUAUCACUAUGUGUAUACCUGGCAUUGAGGCGGAAAAAACAGAAAGACGAAGAAAAUCCAGAGACGCCAUACAAGAUAAUG